AGUGAACGCUGGCGGCAGGCCUAACACAUGCAAGUCGAGCGGCUGAAGGGUGCUUGCUCCUGGAUUCAGCUGCGGACGGGUGGGUAAUGCCGAGGAAUCUGCCUGUCAACUUGGGAUAACGUGCUGAAACGGGCGCUAAUACCGUAUUCGCCCUUACGGCGAACGGGUGGAAGCUUCGGACCUCACGCUCUCAGAUGAGCCGAGGUCGGAUUAGCUAGUUGGUGGGGUAAAGGCCUACCAAGGCGACGAUCCGUAGCUGGUCUGAGAGGAUGAUCAGUCACACUGGAACUGAGACACGGUCCAGACUCCUACGGGAGGCAGCAGUGGGGAAUAUUGGACAAAGGGCGAAAGCCUGAUCCAGCCAUGCCGCGUGUGUGAAGAAGGUCUUCGGAUUGUAAAGCACUUUUAGUUGGGAGGAAGGGCAGUAAGUUAAUACCCUGCUGUUUUGACGUUACCCAAAGAAUAAGCACCGGCUAACUUCGUG
rnacentral:rRNA from 1 species